UACAGAGGUCUCAAGCGUUGUUCGGAUUCAUUGGGCGUAAAGGGUGCGUAGGCGGCGGAGCAAGUCAGGUGUGAAAUCCCGGAGCUCAACUCCGGAACUGCAUUUGAUACUGCUUCGCUAGAGUACUGGAGAGGAGACUGGAAUUUACGGUGUAGCAGUGAAAUGCGUAGAUAUCGUAAGGAAGACCAGUGGCGAAGGCGAGUCUCUGGACAGUUACUGACGCUGAGGCACGAAGGACCAGGGGAGCAAACGGG
rnacentral:rRNA from 1 species